rnacentral:rRNA from 1 species
AUUGAACGCUGGCGGCAGGCCUAACACAUGCAAGUCGAACGGUAACAGGAAGCAGCUUGCUGCUUUGCUGACGAGUGGCGGACGGGUGAGUAAUGUCUGGGAAACUGCCCGAUGGAGGGGGAUAACUACUGGAAACGGUAGCUAAUACCGCAUAACGUCGCAAGACCAAAGAGGGGGACCUUAGGGCCUCUUGCCAUCGGCUGUGCCCAGAUGGGAUUAGCUAGUAGGUGGGGUAACGGCUCACCUAGGCGACGAUCCCUAGAUGGUCUGAGAGGAUGACCCGCCAGACUGGAACUGGGAAACGGUCCAGACUCCUACGGGAGGAAGCAGUGGGGAAUAUUGCACAAUGGGCGCAAGCCUGAUGCAGCCAUGCCGAGUGUAUGAAGAAGGCCUUCGGGUUGUAAAGUACUUUCAGCGGGGAGGAAGGGAGUAAAGUUAAUACCUUUGCUCAUUGACGUUACCCGCAGAAGAAGCACCGGCUAACUCCGUG